rnacentral:tRNA from 1 species
GGCUCCAUAGCGUAGCGGUUAGCACAUCUACUUUACACGCAGAAGGUCCUGGGUUCGUGCCCCAGCGGAGCCA